CCUACGGGUGGCAGCAGUGGGGAAUAUUGGGCAAUGGGCGCAAGCCUGACCCAGCAACGCCGCGUGAAGGAAGAAUGCUUUCGGGUUGUAAACUUCUUUUCUCAGGGACGAAGAAAGUGCCGGUACCUGAGGAAUAAGCCACGGCUAACUACGUGCCAGCAGCCGCGGUGAUACGUAGGUGGCAAGCGUUAUCCGGAUUUACUGGGUGUAAAGGGCGUGUAGGCGGGGAAGCAAGUCAGAUGUGAAAACCACGGGCUCAACCUGUGGCGUGCAUUUGAAACUGUUUUUCUUGAGUACUGGGGAGGCAGACGGAAUUCGUAGUGUAGCGGUGAAAUGCGUAGAUAUUAGGAGGAACACCAGUGGCGAAGGCGGUCUGCUGGACAGCAACUGACGCUGAGGCGCGAAAGCGUGGGUAGCAAACAGGAUUAGAUACCCCGGUAGUC
rnacentral:rRNA from 1 species